CAUUCCCGUCUGAUGAAGCAUUAAGACUGAAACGGAUCGCUGCAGUUCAUAGGAAUGACUGGGAACCCAGUAAACAGUUCGUUAUAUGUGAACUGAUUUCACUGCAGACGACAUUGAGAAAAUUACCAGUGCUUACGACCCAAAACUGGCAAACUCUUUACAGCACCUUUGGACCGUCCACGUUUAAAGAAACGUUCGUGAAAAUUUAUCGUAAAGGGUACUUGUAAUCAGUUUUCAGAUUAAUGUUCAGAUGCCGUACCUUCAAAGUUGCAAGGAUGAACUACGUAUUUAUCUUCAAAACAAGCACCAGCUCGAGAAGAUCCAGAGAGUCGCGAACGUUUGGAGAACCAAGCACUUGAGAAAGUCAUUGAGCAGAGUGUGGGAUCACACAAAAAAUGAUGGAAAAGAGUUCAUUUGCUAGUUUAGAAGAUUUUAAAUCAAAAUUAUCUGAUUGUGAAAAGCACAGUGACUGGGUCACGGUAACUAAAUCAAAUAAUUUGUGUCUUGUGUUAAAGGAUGCUCCUUAUCUAAAUGUUGUGUGGCAUGUCGUUAUAAAUAGUGAUUUAGUGUUAAGUGCAUUUGUGAAGGAAGCUGAGCUAAAUUGUGCUGGUACGAUUAAAUUACCAAACCAAGUAAGUGAUACUGGUACAGUUAGCAAUAUUUUGAAAGAGUUGUAUGUGAUGUUUCAUAUAAAUGAGGCUC